rnacentral:rRNA from 1 species
UAGGGAAUCUUCCGCAAUGGACGCAAGUCUGACGGAGCAACGCCGCGUGAGUGAAGAAGGAUUUCGGUUCGUAAAACUCUGUUGUUAGAGAAGAACAGCGCAUAGAGUAACUGUUAUGCGUGUGACGGUAUCUAACCAGAAAGCCACGGCUAACUACGUGCCAGCAGCCGCGGUAAUACGUAGGUGGCAAGCGUUGUCCGGAUUUAUUGGGCGUAAAGCGAGCGCAGGCGGUCAAUUAAGUCUGAUGUGAAAGCCCCCGGCUCAACCGGGGAGGGUCAUUGGAAACUGGUUGAAUUGAGUGCAGAAGAGGAGGGUGGAAUUCCAUGUGUAGCGUUGAAAUGCGUAGAUAUAUGGAGGAACACCAGUGGCGAAGGCGACUCUCUGGUCUGUAACUGACGCUGAGGUUCGAAAGCGUGGGUAGCAAACAGG